AAGUCGUAACAAGGUUUCCGUAGGUGAACCUGCGGAAGGAUCAUUAACACAAAUUUUGAUUCACAAAUCUCUUUGCUUCGUUGUCUUUUUUCUCUAGAUGCAAGAAAUUUCAUCUAGAGAAGAGCAACAAGCAAUUAACCCCCUUUCUAUGACGAAAAUAACAAAAUGGCGAAAAGGGAACCAGUCAGAUUCUCAAAUUUGACUGGGUCCGUUUCACCCGUUUUCUCUAUAUAUUUCAAUUUUACCCCUUUUACAACAUGUAAUAGACUGAAAACAAAAAUCAUAUUCUAGAUCUCUAGAAUCUAAAACUAAGAAAACAACUCUUAGCAACGGAUAUCUAGGUUCUC
rnacentral:misc_RNA from 1 species